rnacentral:tRNA from 1 species
GUCUAUGUAGUAUAUCAAUUACCCUGGUCUUGUAAAUCAAAGAAGGGGAAAAACAAUUCCCUUAUAUUCC